CCAGCAGCUGCGGUAAUUCCAGCUCCAAGAGUGUAUAUUAAAGUUGUUGCGGUUAAAAAGCUCGUAGUUGGACUUUGGGUAGGAGCGUGUCGGUGCCCGGUGGUUUUGCCGUCGGGGAUCACACCGAUCGUUUCCAUCCCUUUUCUCGAAACGCCAACAGCGGCAGCAAUGUCGUUGGUUUCGUAGGGUUUACUUUGAAUGAAUUAGGGUGUUCAAAGCAGGCGCAACUCGCCUUGAAUACAUUAGCAUGGGAUAAUGAAAUAUGACCUUUGGUCUAUACUUUAUUGGUUUCUAAGGCCAAGGUAAUGAUUAAAAGGGACAGUCGGGGUCGCUUGUAUUCAGUGGUCAGAGGUGAAAUUCUAGGACCCACUGAGGACAAACAAAUGCGAAGGCAUUCGACAAGGAUGUUUUCAUUAAUCAAGAACGAAAGU
rnacentral:rRNA from 1 species